rnacentral:lncRNA from 1 species
ACGGUUCCACGUCACCGACCCUCCGCCUCUUGGGUUCGGGAGGUGGUUCCAUCUCAGCCGCCCUCUGCCUCUUGGGUUUGCGUGGUUUUUCUGCCUCAGCCUCCUGAGUAGCUAAGGGAGGUGUCUUGAGAUUAUCAUCCGCUGAGGGUGGAAGCGGCCCCCGCAGACGCUCCCCGCAGACGCUCGGCAGGUGUCUUGAUAUUAUCAUCUGCUGAGGGUGGAGCUGAGGGUGGAAAGGGAGUGAGCUGACGCUCGGAAGGUGUCUUGAGAUUAUCAUCUGCUGAGGGUGGAAGCGGCCCCCGCAGACGCUCGGCAGGUGUCUUGAUAUUAUCAUCUGCUGAGGGUGGAGCUGAGGGUGGAAGGGGAGUGAGCUGACGCUCGGAAGGUGUCUUGAGAUUAUCAUCCGCUCAGGGUGGAAGCGGCCCCCGCAGACGCUCGGCAGGUGUCUUGAUAUUAUCAUCUGCUGAGGGUGGAAGGGCAGUGAGCUGACGCUCGGAAGGUGUCUUGAGAUUAUCAUCCGCUGAGGGUGGAAGGGGAGUGAGCAGACACUCAGGAGGUGUCUUGAGAUUAUCAUCCGCUGAGGGUGGAAGGGGAGUGAGCAGACACUCGGGAGGUGUCUUGAGGCUCAGGGAGUUAUCAGUUAUAGAAUGUUGUUGAGUUGGAGGAGGUGGCUGGUGGCCCAUCCUGU